rnacentral:rRNA from 1 species
AACGAACGCUGGCGGCAUGCCUAACACAUGCAAGUCGAACGAGACCUUCGGGUCUAGUGGCGCAGGGGUGCGUACCGAGGGGUAAGCUGCCCGUAGGUUCGGAAUAACUCCCCGAAAGGGGUGCUAAUACAGGUGAAUGUCUUCGGACCUAGGAUUUAUCGCCUUUGGAUGGGCGCGCGUUGGAUUCGCGAGUUGGUAGGGGAAUAGCCUACCAAGGCGACGAUGCAGAGCUGGUCGGAGAGGAUGAUCCGCCACACUUGAACUGAGACACGGCCCAGACCCCUACGGGACGGUGCAGUGGAGAAUACUGGGCGAUGGGGGAUAGCGUGAUCCAGCAAUGCGGGGGGAGACAGGAAGGGCUUAGGGUUGUAAAGUUCUUUUACCCGGGGUGAGAAUGACAGUACCGGGAGAAGAAGCACCGGCUAACUACGUG